AACGAACGCUGGCGGCGCGUCUUAAGCAUGCAAGUCGAACGGCAAGAGAAGAGCUUGCUCUUCUCCUAGAGUGGCGGACUGGUGAGUAACACGUGGGUGAUCUACCCUUGAGAUGGGGAUAGCCGUUAGAAAUAGCGGGUAAUACCGAAUACACUCAUUUUCAUAAAGGGAGGUGAGGAAAGGAAGCUAUGGCUUCGCUCGAGGAUGAGCUUGCGUCCCAUUAGCUAGUUGGUGAGGUAAGAGCCCACCAAGGCGACGAUGGGUAUCCGGCCUGAGAGGGUGAACGGACACAUUGGGACUGAGAUACGGCCCAAACUCCUACGGGAGGCAGCAGCUAAGAAUAUUCCGCAAUGGACGGAAGUCUGACGGAGCGACGCCGCGUGGAUGAAGAAGGCUGAAAAGUUGUAAAAUCCUUUUGCUGAUGAAGAAUAAGGGUAGGAGGGAAUGCCUAUCUGAUGACGGUAAUCG
rnacentral:rRNA from 1 species